rnacentral:lncRNA from 7 species
AUUACGCAAGUACUAGUUUAUUGCAGCACUCUUUCCUCAAGACAUGACUCAUACAAGUGUACCCACGUUACAGAAUCUCUUGGAUGUUGACAAACGCAAACAGCUAUUCUGUACAAUUCCAUGUUCUAAGACACUGUUUACAGGCACAGCACCCACAUAUUCCAUACAUUUUAUGGCAUGGUUAACAUUAACACAUAUGUCAGACUAACAAGACAAUGGUCAAAAAGCAUCCACAUCCAAUAAAUGACAUUACAUUCACACUAACAUUAUGUACUGCAGCCCACCUCAGCAGCAGAGCAGAUCUCAGCCCACCUGAAGUAAAUGCAAGUCUCAGACUGGCCAGGAAGGAGCGCAAAUGGCCUCCGCUGGCCCCGGGCGUUGGUUACGGGGUUGGUUACGGGGUUGGGUUA